rnacentral:lncRNA from 1 species
GGAACACUCUCCGAGAACCCCUGCUCCAAAACCAAGCGGUGAUGGACGUUCUCCGUGCACUCUCACUCUCGUCCACAAAACCCAGGGAACGCUCUCCGAAAACCCGUGGUCCUAAACCGAGUGGUGAGGAACAUUCUCCGUGAACUCUUACUUCUGUCCACAAAACCUAGGGAACGCUCUCCGAGAACCAUUGGUCCUAAACUGAGCGGUGAGGAACGUUCUCCGUGAACUCUCACUCUCUUUCACAAAACCCAGGGAACAUUCUCUGAGAACCCCUAAUCCUAAACCGACCGGUGAUGAAUGUUCUCCGUGAACUCUCACUCUCG